UCCCUGGCAGUCCAGUGGUCAGGACUUGGUGCUUUCACUGCCAGGGCCCAGGUUCAAUCCCUGGUUGUGGAA
rnacentral:tRNA from 1 species